UGGGGAAUAUUGGACAAUGGGGGAAACCCUGAUCCAGCGACGCCGCGUGUGUGAAGAAGGCCUGCGGGUUGUAAAGCACUUUCGGUGGGAACGAAAUAUGCCGGGCUAAUACCCCGGUAGGCUGACGUUACUCAAUGAAGAAGCACCGGCUAACUCUGUGCCAGCAGCCGCGGUAAUACAGAGGGUGCGAGCGUUAAUCGGAAUUACUGGGCGUAAAGCGCACGUAGGUGGCGACGUAAGUCGGGUGUGAAAGCCCCGGGCUCAACCUGGGAACCGCAUUCGAGACUGUGUUGCUGGAGUACGGAAGAGGAGGGCGGAAUUCCCGGUGUAGCGGUGAAAUGCGUAGAUAUGCGGAGGAACACCGAUGGCGAAGGCAGCCUCCUGGGAUAACACUGACGCUCAUGCACGAAAGCGUGGGGAGCAAACAGGAUUAGAUACCCACGUAGUCCCUGAGCGGGCUGGG
rnacentral:rRNA from 1 species